rnacentral:rRNA from 1 species
CAGUCGCCGCGGUAAUACGAAGGGGGCUAGCGUUGCUCGGAAUGACUGGGCGUAAAGGGCGCGUAGGCGGCGAUCAAAGUCAGGCGUGAAAUUCCUGGGCUCAACCUGGGGGCUGCGCUUGAUACUUGGUUGCUUGAGUGGGGAAGAGGGUCGUGGAAUUCCCAGUGUAGAGGUGAAAUUCGUAGAUAUUGGGAAGAACACCGGUGGCGAAGGCGGCGACCUGGUCCUUGACUGACGCUGAGGCGCGAAAGCGUGGGGAGCAAACAGGAUUAGAUACCCCAGUAGUCCCUGUCUCUUAUAC